rfam:Candidatus Kaiserbacteria bacterium RIFCSPLOWO2_01_FTLL_54_24 rifcsplowo2_01_scaffold_145425, whole genome shotgun sequence.
CAAGCCGCUCCGGGUAAAACUGGAGUCACUAUUCUCAACACUCGAGAAUAUAAAGUAACAGAAUUGUGUCUGGUAAUUGAAUUGCCAAAUCUCGCAGUGAUGCGGGAAGAAAUCCGGCUCAUAACGGUGAAGUCUUAACUGGAGCAUUCGUUCAAGGCGAGUGCGAUGAAGGAAGAUAAUACCGUGGGAAGAUUUGUGGGCUUCAGUGGAUGUACAACGAAGGAGCGUCAAAUGUACUACGUUUUUAUGAUCGGCACUCCGCUCGCCCUGAUUGGGCUGAUCGCGUUGCUGUUGAGUUAGAACGACCGGCAAACCUCAAGCAACAGCUAGAGGUUUGCCAUCCACUGAAGCUCAUAAGUCCCCGUAACGACUUAGCACUCAGAGUGCUGGAGUUGCUUCUGCAUCUUUUCAAAAAGGAGGGCAGAAGCAGCUAAGACGCCGGCUCUCGAUUAAAUAAAUCGAGAUGAAAGUAUAGUCUACGCCCUUAGAAAUAAGGGAACUAACGUGAAGUUCAGACGCGCACGAAUAGUGUAACGACUGGGGAACUGUCUCGGAGCACAGCUCGGUGAAAAUACAAUACCGGUGAAGAUGCCGGUUACCUGCAGAUAGACGAAAAGACCCCAGAAGCUUUACUGUAGCUUGAUAUUGCGCAUACGAUGUGACUGCGUAGCAUAGAUGGGAGAGGUUGAGGUCAUGGUUUCGGCCGUGGCGGACUCGUCAGUGAAAUACCAUUCUUUCUAGUUGUAUGUGCUAACCGGCAGGAUUAAACCUUGUCGAGACAGUAUCUGGUAGGCAGUUUUAGUGGGGCGCUAUCCUCCCAAAAAGUAACGGAGGAGUGUAUUAAGGUCCUCUAGGCGCGAAUGGAAACCGUGCCGAUAGCGCAAUGGCAAAUGAGGGCUUGACUGCAAGUCGUGAAUGACAAGCAGGUGCGAAAGCAGACCAUAGUGAACCGACCAUCCGUAUUAGACGCGGUGGAAGAUUAUCUGACAAAAGCUACUCUGGGGAUAACAGGCUAGUUCCGCCUAAGCGUCCAUAGCGACGGCGGAGUUCGGCACCUCGAUGUCGGCUCACCAUAUCCCGGGGCUGAAGAAGGUCCCAAGGGUUUGGCUGUUCGCCAAUUAAAAUGGUACGCGAGCUGGGUUCAGACCGUAUAUGACGCGAUGCCAAUAUACGAAUGCGUGCGAAUGACGCGAAUUCGAUUCGUAUUAUUUGUGCAAUUCGUGGAUUCGUGUCAUGCACAGUCUGAACCCCACGAGAGAAAAGAAAACUGUUAUAAAACAUGUUCGUCUAAAUGUAAAAGAAAAGAAAGUAGAACCAACCAAUCACGGCGGUCGGCCAGCUCAGCUGGCUGAACAAGCUAACUUAUAUCGGUGGAAUCCUUGCAAGAUACAAGGGCUAUACCGAGGGAACGAGCGAGGUUUGAAUAUUUAAAUAUUUAAAUCUAAUUUGGCCCGUAGAGACUGAAUGUUAGACAAUAAAAGGCGUCGCCUUUUAUUGAAGUUACAGUCCAAUGCGUACAGUAAUGUACGAAAAACAUGCGUGAGACAGGUUGGUCUCCUAUCUACUGCAGGCGUUGAUUAUUGAAAAGAUUUGCUCCUAGUAAGAAAUUGCUACUUUGCGCAGAGAUGCGCAUUGAAAAUGUGGCUCAUAACGGUGAAGUCGCCCAUCGCGUUUUGGUUCGAGAGUUGCUGUCCGCUCUAGUCCAGUGGAUAACUAACUCGCUUGAGGACCAGAAAUGCGGUACGAUAAUACCGUGGGAAGUCGAUCGAAAGUAGACCUAGCGUAUAUUGCCGGAUUUCUUGAUGGCGAUGGCAGCCUGAUGCUUCAAAUAAAGAAGCGCAAAGACGGGAAAGUAAAAAUCCGUUUUAUGGCGACCAUCUGCUUUUAUCAAGACACUCGGCACGAAAAGACAUUGCAUUGGAUUAGAGAAGUCCUAGACAUUGGAUACAUCUCGCGGAGAGCGGACGGCAUGUCCGAGCUCCGGAUAAACGGAUAUAUCCAAGUCAAAGAAAUCCUUAAAAAACUCUCGCCCUAUAUAAGAUUUAAGGCCAUACAGGCCAAAAGUCUGCUAGAGGCGACAGAGAUUUUAUCCAGCGCAAAGUUCCGUAUGCUAGAGAAAAAGCAACUGCUCUUGUUAGUAAAACUUGCGUUGCUCAUGCAACAAGAGAAUUACGUCACAAAAAAGAAAAAAACAAGAGAAGAACUGCUUGCUAUGCUCGGUUUGACCCCGUAACGACUUGGGUUGAAAGAUACCCGGACUUGUACAGCAGCGAAUCGCUCCACAGAGAGCGACGGUCUGUACAGGUAAGAUGCCACCUCCCUCGCCGAAAGUUUCGGACGGGUGAAGGUAUAGUCUGCGCUCCUAGAAAUAGGGGACUACGUGACGAGAGGACCGGAGUGAACUGACCACUGGUCUGCCAGCUCUUCUGCCAAGAGGAACGCUGGGUAGCUAUGUCGGGAAAGGAUAAGCGCUGAAAGCAUCUAAGCGCGAAGCCGACUUUAAGAUGAGUAAUCAUUACGAUCCGUCAGAGAUGAUGACGUUGAUAGGCUUUAGCUGUAAGUACCGCAAGGUAUUGAGGCGAGAAGUACUAAUAGAUCAGGUUUCCGUCCUCU